rnacentral:rRNA from 1 species
GGCGAUCAGAUACCGCCCUAGUUUUGACCGUAAACGAUGCCAACUAGCGAUCUGCCAGUCGACUCAUCGCUCUGGUGGGGAGCUUCCCGGAAACGAAAGUCUUCCGGUUCCGGGGGAAGUAUGGUUGCAAAGCUGAAACUUAAAGGAAUUGACGGAAGGGCACCACCAGGAGUGGAGCCUGCGGCUUAAUUUGACUCAACACGGGGAAACUCACCCGGCCCGGACACCGUAAGGAUUGACAGAUUGAUAGCUUUUUCAUGAUUCGGUGGAUGGUGGUGCAUGGCCGUUCUUAGUUCGUGGAGCGAUUUGUCUGGUUUAUUCCGAUAACGAGCGAGACUCUGGCCUACUAAAUAGUUGACGCAUUGCCACUGUGCGCACAACUUCUUAGAGGGAUUUUCGGUGUUUUCAACCGCACGAAAUUGAGCAAUAACAGGUCUGUGAUGCCCUUAGAUGUCCGGGGCUGCACGCGCGCUACACUGGCAAACGCAACGUGCCUGUCCUGCCCCGAAAGGAGCGGGUAAACCCCUGAAAUUUUGCCGUGAUUGGGAUCGGACAUUGCAACUAUUGUCCGUGAACGAGGAAUUCCUUGUAGGGGCGAGUCAUCAACUCGUCCCGAAUACGUCCCUGCCCUUG